rnacentral:rRNA from 1 species
UACGUAGGGUGCAAGCGUUGUCCGGAAUUAUUGGGCGUAAAGAGCUCGUAGGCGGUCUGUCGCGUCGGCUGUGAAAACCCGGGGCUCAACCCCGGGCCUGCAGUCGAUACGGGCAGACUAGAGUGCGGUAGGGGAGACUGGGAUUCCUGGUGUAGCGGUGAAAUGCGCAGAUAUCAGGAGGAACACCGGUGGCGAAGGCGGGUCUCUGGGCCGUAACUGACGCUGAGGAGCGAAAGCGUGGGGAGCGAACAGG